rnacentral:rRNA from 1 species
GACGAACGCUGGCGGCGUGCUUAACACAUGCAAGUCGAACGGAAAGGCCCUGCUUGCAGGGUACUCGAGUGGCGAACGGGUGAGUAACACGUGGGUGAUCUGCCCUGCACUUCGGGAUAAGCCUGGGAAACUGGGUCUAAUACCGGAUAGGAGCCAUUUUUAGUGUGAUGGUUGGAAAGUUUUUUCGGUGUAGGAUGAGCUCGCGGCCUAUCAGCUUGUUGGUGGGGUAAUGGCCUACCAAGGCGGCGACGGGUAGCCGGCCUGAGAGGGUGGACGGCCACAUUGGGACUGAGAUACGGCACAGACUCCUACGCGAGGCAGCAGUGGGGAAUACUGCACAAUGGGCGCAAGCCUGAUGCAGCGACGCUGCGUGGGGGAUGACGGCCUUCGGGUUGGAAACUCCUUUCGCGAGGGACGAAGCUUUUUGUGACGGUACCUAGAUAAGAAGCAACGGCUAACUACGUG